AGACCUUUCAGCAUCGCCAAGAGCUUAUUAAAGAUCCAGGCUCUAGUGUUGAUAUCCUCUCCACCUUCCCAAGAUUCCUAGAUACAAAAGGCCUGGUUGGUCAAGACUUCACUCUCCUGUUUGACACGGAGACAUCCUCCAGGCUGCUUCAGAAGAGGGACACAUUCUUCAGGCCAAAUGUCAUUAAAGACACCAAGCAACUUACUUCAACAGCAGAGAUGAGUCAGUUUUUGCUCUCAGCAGAAUGUCCUGAAGGAAGUGACCUUCAUGAGACAAUUUACGACCGGGAAAUGGCAUCCCUUCUUUAACUGAUACAUCUCCUUCCACCAUCACCAGGAGGACUGAAGUCUCCAAAAAUCAGUCCAUGUGAUGCUGCUGAAAGACUUGUAAUCUUUCAUAAGUCAUGCUGCAGUUUGGAGGAGCCCCUCAACAACAUCCAGCAUCAGCAUCCGUACCUCCUUGCUGUUGGACGCCAGAAAAGCAAGACUGAGUGCUUCUACAUCAUCUUGGAUAAGCAUCUCAUCCCAUGCC